rnacentral:rRNA from 1 species
GUUUAAUUCGACGCAACGCGAAGAACCUUACCAGGUCUUGACAUUGAUGGACAGAACUAGAGAUAGUUCCUCUUCUUCGGAAGCCAGAAAACAGGUGGUGCACGGUUGUCGUCAGCUCGUGUCGUGAGAUGUUGGGUUAAGUCCCGCAACGAGCGCAACCCCUAUCUUAUGUUGCCAGCACGUAAUGGUGGGAACUCAUGAGAGACUGCCGCAGACAAUGCGGAGGAAGGCGGGGAUGACGUCAAAUCAUCAUGCCCCUUAUGACCUGGGCUACACACGUACUACAAUGGGCUUUAAUAAAGGGAAGCGAAGUCGCGAGGCGGAGCAAACCCCAGAAACAAGCUCUCAGUUCGGAUCGUAGGCUGCAACUCGCCUACGUGAAGUCGGAAUCGCUAGUAAUCGCAGGUCAGCAUACUGCGGUGAAUACGUUCCCGGGCCUUGUACACACCGCCCGUCACACCACGAAAGUCGGAAGUGCCCAAAGCCGGUGGGGUAACCUUCGGGAGCCAGCCGUCUAAGGUAAAGUCGAUGAUUGGGGUGAAGUCGUAACAAGGUAGCCGUAUCGGAAGGUGCGGCUGGAUCACCU